GACGAACCGAGCGACCGUUGUUCGGAAUCACUGGGCUUAAAGGGCGCGUAGGCGGGUGCUCAAGUCUGUGGUGAAAUCCUCCGGCUCAACCGGAGAACUGCCAUGGAUACUGGGUGUCUCGAGGGUGGUAGGGGUAUGCGGAACUAUCGGUGGAGCGGUGAAAUGCGUUGAUAUCGAUAGGAACACCGGUGGCGAAGGCGGCAUCCUGGACCGACACUGACGCUGAGGAGCGAAAGCCAGGGGAGCAAACGGG
rnacentral:rRNA from 1 species